UUGUAUAGGGAAUCUACAGUUGCCAACACAUAUCAGUGGUUGGCCUUUGUGAAGACAACAUGCUUGUGGUGUUUGGACUCCUGGUGAUGUUAACCGGACUCUCUAAUGGCAUGAAGGAGAAAUCCUGUGAUGCUAGACAGAACAUGUCAUGUCACGGAACUCUGGGAGAAACUGUAUAUCUUCAGCUGAUGAAUAACGCCACGGGGUCUGAACUCAUAUUCAAGAAAGUCCCCACUAGUGUUAGUAUAGAGAUAUUCAAAAUGAAAAACAACACAGUGAUAAUCCAUGACUCCAUUAAAGCUAGAUAAGAGUUCUUUAUCAACAACGGGACAUUUAGGAUAGCGAACACAGAAAGGAGUGAUUCUGGUGAAUAUCUCUUCAAAAUCUAUAAUUCAAGUGGAACAACUUUGAGCACCAGAAGAGUACAACUGAUAAUUGGAGGAGGAUCCGGAUCCGAUUGGCCUUUCAUUGCGUCACUAGUAGCUGUGGUCCUGGUCCUUACAGUGGUGGUGGGAGCUUACUGUAUUCACAUGAGGGGGACACCUCCACAGGCUCCAGUCCCCACAGAUGCUGAUGAGAGUCCAGAAUUGGAAUAUGCUGACGUCACUAUUCUAAAGAAGAUGGAUAAACCCCCGGAGGUUCCAGAGGAGGUGAAGUAUGGACAUGUUGUAGUGUUGGAGGGUUCCAGACAAACCAAAGAGAGAGACAGACCUGAGAGGCUGGAGGAUACUGUGUAUGCUGGAAUACAGCUUGGCCAAUGAGAGAGUUUCUUCAGUGUAGGCCGGGGUGUGAAGGGUUGGUCUAGUAUUACAGCUUUGUUGCUUCAUGUGUUACUGUAACUAAUUGUAUCUAACUUUCCCAUAUUUCUGUAGAUAUUUUCAUGAAAUGUACAUGAACAACCCAACAACUAAACUGUAUACACUGGCUGUAGUGAGUACGUCUGUUAUUGAUUGAACAUGUUUUUUACCCUUUAAAGUCUUAACAUACAGCCAUACUAAUCAUUUCCAUCUACAACAUGUUAUUACACAGUAGUAACAGUAGUAACAGUAGUAACAGUGUUAACAGUAUUAACAGUGUUAACAGUGGUAACAGUGUUAACAGUGUUAACAGUAGUAACAGGGGUAGCAAUGGUACCCGCAGUAACAGUAGUAACAUUGGAAACAGUGGUAACAGUAGUAACGGUGGUAACAGUGGUAACUGUAGUAACAGUGGUAACAGUAGUACCAGUUGUCAUUCACUGCAGAAGUUUGUGAUGGAGAAGAUGUCCCUGUAGUGUACAAUUCUGUGAAACACAAUUCUCACUAUUAUCCUCAAUGGUAGAAUGGGUCAAACUGUUUUCUGAAGCACGUCUUGUUUUGCAUCCAAUAACAAACCCAAGUCAACAAGGUUUGAGCCCCCAGAAAGUGCUAUGUAAACCCAGUCUAUUAUAAAGUCAUGUUAUUGUGUCCAGCCAACAACUGCAACCCAAAAUGAAUCAGUUGCAGCCGGUCGAAGAAACCAGAGAGUCACAAACCACUAUUAGGGAAACAUUGUACUUUGAUCUGCUGGUCCUCUCUGUUUCACUUCUGAUGUCUCUCACCUCUCUCUCUCUCUCUCUCUCUCUCUCUCUCUCUCUCUCUCUCUCUC